rnacentral:rRNA from 1 species
UAGGGAAUCUUCCACAAUGGAACGAAAGUCUGAUGGAGCAACGCCGCGUGAGUGAAGAAGGGUUUCGGCUCGUAAAGCUCUGUUGGUAGUGAAGAAAGAUAGAGGUAGUAACUGGUCCUUUUAUUUGACGGUAAUUACUUAGAAAGUCACGGCUAACUACGUGCC